rnacentral:rRNA from 1 species
CAAUAGCGUAUAUUAAAGUUGUUGCGGUUAAAAAGCUCGUAGUUGGAUUUCUGCUGAGAACGACCGGUCCGCCCUUUGGGUGUGUAUCUGGCUCUUUCUUGGCAUCUUCUUGGUGAACGUUGCUGCACUUGACUGUGUGGAGCGCUACCCAGGACUUUUACUUUGAGGAAAUUAGAGUGUUUCAAGCAGGCAUACGCCUUGAAUACAUUAGCAUGGAAUAAUAAGAUAGGACCUCGGUUCUAUUUUGUUGGUUUCUAGAGCUGAGGUAAUGAUUAAUAGGGAUAGUUGGGGGCAUUCGUAUUUAACUGUCAGAAGUGAAAUUCUUGGAUUUGUUAAAGACGGACUACUGCGAAAGCGUCUGCCAAGGAUGUUUUCAUUGA